GCUCCUUGAAUUUUUCUUUUUCCUUAAACAUCGCGAUAGAUUUUGAGCAUAACAUCAUUGGAAUAUUUUGAUCAACCAAUCAAAAAUUCCAUUGUCGUUUCGCUAUGAUCUCUAUUUAGCAACAAGACAUAUUUCCCACUAGACCCAACGUCCUGUACACACAGAAAAACCACCAGAGACAGAGAGAGAGAAAUGAGCGAGAAGAACAAGAACAAACCAAAGGCAAUAAUAGUAGGAGGAAGCAUAGCUGGAAUAUCAUGUGCACACGCUCUCAUUUUAGCAGGAUGGAAUGCUGUGGUUCUUGAGAAAUCAAAUUCGCCUCCGAAAGGCAGCCCGACUGGUGCUGGGAUAGGAAUCGACCUUCUUUCUCAACAAAUCAUCAAGUCAUGGCUUGCAAACCCUCACCUUCUUCAUGAACUCACCUUUCCUCUCUCAAUUGAUCAGAAUAUAGUAACUGAUGGAGAUAAGGCUACUAGGAUAUUGACCAGAGAUGAGAAUUUCAAUUUUAGAGCGGCACAUUGGGCUGAUCUCCAUGGCCUUCUGUACAGUGAUUUACCACCUGAAAUAUUUUUGUGGGGUCACUUGUGCCUUUCUUUCAAUGUUUCUGAAGACAAGACCUCUGUUAAUGUUAAGGCUAAAGCUCUUCAAACCGAUGAGAUUAUAGAGAUAAAGGGGGACUUGCUUGUUGCGGCAGAUGGGUGUCUCUCUUCAAUUCGCAGGACUUUUCUUCCUGACCUGAAAUUGAGGUAUUCUGGUUAUUGUGCUUGGAGAGGAGUUCUUGAUUUUUCAGGAAAGGAGGGUUCGGAAACUAUUGUAGGCAUUAGAAAGGUGUAUCCUGAUCUUGGGAAUUGCUUAUACUUUCACCUUAAUGGUGGAAUUCAUAGUGUGCUUUAUGAACUUCCCAAGGAGAAGCUCAAUUGGAUUUGGUAUGUUCAUCAACCUGAACCCAAGGUGAAGGGUAGUUCAGUUACCAUGAAAGUAAGCAGUGACGUGAUAAAUAAUAUGUACCAAGAAGCAGAGAAGGUUUGGCCUCAUGAGUUUGUGAAAGUGAUGAAAGAUACUAAGGAGCCUUUUCUAAAUAUUAUGUAUGAUUGCGAUCCUCUAGAACAGAUCGUUUGGGAUAGGGUUGUACUUAUUGGAGAUGCUGCACAUCCUACAACUCCUCAUGGUCUGAGAAGUACAAAUAUGUCAAUUGUAGAUGCUGCAGUUUUAGGUAAACGCCUUGAGAAGUGGGGAGUGGAAAAUUUACCUUCAGCCCUUGAAGAAUAUCAGGGUCUUCGGCUACCAGUCACCUCAAAGCAAGUCUUACACUCCCGACGAAUGGGCCGAAUUAAACAAGGCUUAUCUCUUACUGAUCGUGAGACUUUUGAUCCAAAAACAGCAACUCCGGAUGAUUGCGAAGGACUUCAACAGAAACAUAUGCCUUUCUUUGCUGGUGUUCCUGGCUUGGUUGAUUUAUUAUUUACCACUUCAUCAGGACUCUUAAGAGAUAGAACACGUUCUGUAAAGCUGGAAGAGAUUCUCCGGUCCUAUUAGCUUCCAUAUGCCAAGACAAAAGAGCAAAUGAUCAUCAAAUGGUGAUGCCGAUUCGAAAGAGUUUAGAGAAUAAAGUCAAAAAUUGCUGUUACAGCUUCUGAAAAGACAGCUGUUAUCCAGAUUUGCCUACUAAAGCCACUGCAUUGAGGGCGCCAAUAACAAGUGCUCCACUAUAUAGAUCUCCUAGAGCAAACACCCAAGCUUUCAAAUAUGACAAGAUAUAAUAAUACAGAAUGAUUCCAGUCAAUUGUUGAAACACACCCAACUCCAGAAGCGCGUAUAACUGAUUGAGGUUAAUCUUUUCUCUUGAGAGAGUUCUUAAACAGAUAUUGUAUGGCUACUGCUGCAUUACAGCUUACAAGCCCUAGGUAGGGAAACAACACAAUAGAGACUCAGAAACUGAGUUUGUGACCAAAUUACGCAGAGAGGUAGGUGAGAGGAUGAGAAUAGUGGAAGAGAAGAAAAGGCUUUGUGUUGCAUGGUUGGCUGAUUGUGAUUAUUGUUUAUUUAUUUAUUUUCUAUUGUUUGUUGUCUGUAGAUACAAUGCAUAUAGCUACCAAACCAAUAAAGAGAAAAACCUGAAACGAAAGAAGAAAAAACAGAAAUGAGUGAAAGUCAGGAGAGUUAUGAAAAUUUUAACAGAAAAAUGUGUUUUUUUCCAGCUAAUCUUUCCUUCCUUUCUUAGUUCAUUAGUGUCAGGUUCACUUGAUCGAGAAUAUAAAGCAAGUGCUCUGCAACACAUGAAUGUUUAUCAAUUUCUGUUCUGCUCCCAUUCUUCAAAGUCAGUUUUUAGCUCAAAUUAUUUUGUAUGGAUUUAUGUAUUGCUCAGAAUUUAAAAACAGCUUUGCAGGUAUCUCCAACCAAAAACAGUAGUUUCCAAAACAAAAUUGGAAAUGCCAUCAUUUCUCUACAUUAGAUAGCCAUUGCAGGUUUAAUUUCCGUAACUUUGGUUGGUCAGUGCAGGUUUUGUUGCCGGUCCUGCUGGUCUCUCUUUACAAUAUCAGUACCUUUAAUGCUAGUUUAAUGUUAUAUAUUCUUUUACAAUAUU